GAUUCCCAGAUAACAAUCUUCUCCCCAAGGUCGACGACGAAAGAGACAGCCAACAAUGGUUCACAACGCUUACGAUUCCUUUCAGCUUCUCACCAACUGCCCCGCUCGGAUCGACGCCGUCGAAUCCCACAACUCCAAGCUCUUCGCCGGAUGCUACGACGGCUCCCUCCGCAUCUACUCACCCCAAUCUCCCUCCUCCGAGCUCCGCCAAGACUCUUACCUCCUCGAAACAACCGUCACCGGAUUCUCCAAGAAACCCAUCGUGGCCAUGAAGGUCUUGGCCUCCAGAGAGCUGCUCCUCUCUCUCUCGGAGUCGAUCGCGUUCCACAAGAUUCCUAAUCUGGAGACCGUCGCCGUGAUCACCAAAGCGAAAGGCGCCAAUGCUUACUCGUGGGACGAUCGACGCGGCUUCCUCUGCUUCUCUAGGCAGAAGAGGGUCUGCGUCUUCAAGCACGACGGUAAAAAGAUCGGAGCUUUUCUACUCAUUUGUGAUUAAAAAAAGUUUGGAUUUUUAUUUUUUUAUUAAAAAAGAAAGUUUGGAUUUUUAUUGUUACAGGAGGAGGAGGGUUUGUGGAGGUGAGGGACUAUGGAGUUCCUGAUACUGUAAAGUCCAUUUCUUGGUGUGGUGAAAACAUUUGCUUGGGGAUUAGGAAAGAGUAUGUGAUUCUCAACACUGCUAAUGGGACUCUCUCUGAGGUGUUUCCUUCCGGUAGAGUUGCUCCUCCUCUCGUCACUUCUCUACCUUCUGGUGAACUUCUCCUUGGAUUCUCAGCAAGAUAACAAGGUGCAACUAGCUUUUUAGUAUUAACAUAAUUUACUUAAGCAUUAGUAAUAAUAAUUGGGGCCCAUAAUAAUUAUUAAAACACCUACAAACAUUCAGGUUAGCAAAUUGAAAUCUGCGUUAGGACCACUCUCAGGACAUAGUUUAGUUUUCUGCUCUGAUGCUUCCUUGAGGAGAUACUUGGAUGCUCGUAGCUGGAAUGUCGAAAACGCCAAGCAAAUGAUUGAGGAGACACUUAAAUGGAGAUCAACAUACAAGCCUCAUGAGAUCCCUUGGGUAACUUCAACAUCUAAAUAUCAAAGAUACGUUCAUGUUUGUUUAUUUUCUUCUCUGGUUAUCUCCAGCAUGAAGUAGCACAUGAAGGUGAGACUGGAAAAGUUUCAAGAGCUAGUUUUCAUGAUCGUCACGGUAGGACUGUGCUAAUAAUGAGACCAGGGUUACAGGUAAUUUAAUCGGAUUUUCUGUUUGUUUGUUUUUAAUCUCUUUCAAGAACUCAUAUGUAGUAGAUAUGUCUCUCAUAUAAUUUUAUAAACAGAACACAACAUCAGCAGAAGGUAAUAUCAGGCACUUGGUGUAUCUUCUUGAAAACGCAAUCAUUAAUCUUCCCAAAGGACAAGAACAAAUGUCUUGGCUCAUAGAUUUUACUGGUUGGUCCAUGGCUAAUAAUGCUCCCAUGAAAACAACACGAGACAUUAUCUACAUUCUACAGAAUCAUUACCCUGAGAGACUCGGUAUGUCAUUUCUCUACAAUCCUCCAAGACUCUUCCAAGCAGGCUACAAGGUACAAAAAGUCAUCAUUACAUAAUAAUAUUGUCUUUUUAAUAAAGUUUCAAAAAGCCCUUUAAUGAGUCAUUCAUUUACUAGGCUGUUAAGUACUUCUUGGACCCAAGAACAGCUCAAAAGGUGAACUUCGUGUACCCAAAUGACAAAGCAAGUGAUGAACUGAUGAGAUCACACUUUGAUAUGGAGAAUCUCCCCAAGGAGUUUGGUGGAGAAGCAACACUAGAGUAUGACCAUGAGGAAUUCUCAAGACAAAUGUUUGAAGACGAUCUCAAAACCGCAAAGUUCUGGGGGCUAGAAGAGAAACAGUAUCUGAAACCAAACGGUUUCUCUCCAGCCGAUGUUGUUCCUGAACCGGCCACUUCUCUUGCAUCAGUAGCUAACUGAGAGUUGAAACUACAUAUAAACACAUAAAGAAACAAGAGAAGAUUAUAAACGCUUUAUUCUCAUUGAUGAAGAACCAAUAAAAAAACGUGCAGAUUACUAAGAAAAUUAGUGAGCCGCCAGACUUUUUCAAUGUCCUAGCUAAGCUGACAGACACGUUCCUUGUUAUUGAAGUUAAUGUAUGUUUUAGAAUGUUGUUACCAUGUCUAAUUGUUUGGUGUUUAUUGCUUGAAAAUAUGAGAAUCAUCCUUUUGGUUCUAUUUUUUCUUAAUUUAUUUAGUUAUGAAAUAUUUGCUCAAUUUAUAUCUGUCUGUUACAACCUAAGCAAGUUUAUUUAGCUUAAGAUGACAUAAUGAAAUGUUAAGAGUAAGUAUUUGUUACAAAAUAAGUAUCUAUGAUUUUAUUGUAAUUUAUAUCAUUAAUUUAUCUUUACAUAAAUAAUUUUUUUUAAAAAAUAUAUAAGAAAAUAUUAAUAGUUAAAUAAGGAUAAAACUGAAUAUUUAGCUAUAUUUUUAGUUUACAUGAAAAAAAUAAAACGACAUCUAAUAUGAAAUUAAUGACCAAAGGCAACCGGUUGGAACUGUUCUGGAACCAAUUUUCCUUGGUUAGAGCAUUGGUCUUUGACUCAAAGGUCGCGGGUUCGAAAGUCAACAUUUCAUUUUGGUUAUAAUUGGAUUUAAACAAUCUUCAUGGAUCCAUGGUGAUUCCCAGAUAACAAUCUUCUCCCCAAGGUCGACGACGAAAGAGACAGCCAACAAUGGUUCACAACGCUUACGAUUCCUUUCAGCUUCUCACCAACUGCCCCGCUCGGAUCGACGCCGUCGAAUCCCACAACUCCAAGCUCUUCGCCGGAUGCUACGACGGCUCCCUCCGCAUCUACUCACCCCAAUCUCCCUCCUCCGAGCUCCGCCAAGACUCUUACCUCCUCGAAACAACCGUCACCGGAUUCUCCAAGAAACCCAUCGUGGCCAUGAAGGUCUUGGCCUCCAGAGAGCUGCUCCUCUCUCUCUCGGAGUCGAUCGCGUUCCACAAGAUUCCUAAU
rnacentral:lncRNA from 1 species